GACCGUGACCUCCACGCUGCAGCAACACUCCUUGGAAAAAAGAAAAUCUGUAUUCCCGUGAAGCAGAAAAUCAUUACUAAUUAAUAAAUCACUCUUCUAAGGAAAUAUGGGAAGAUGAUGGCAUCAUCUCUCAGCAUUCUGGUGAAGAGAGAUACAGUGGAUGCGGGGGCUGCCCCAGCAGCAGCUUCUCCCUGCAGAGCUGCAGAAGAGAAGUAGCCCUUGAGCACUCACCCUCCCUCUGUGAAAACAGUGUGCCACAUUCAAGAAUUAUUAGGUCAUAAAAGAUGGCCCAGAUCCCCACUGUCUGGAGUCACAGAGUCACGUCUACACUAUAGGUACCGCGAUACCUGACAAUAGUGCUUUGCUUCAAGGUAAAAAUGAUGGAGAGUGCAAGGCAGUGAAGAAACGGCCAGUUGAGACUCAAAAUGCUGAGAAGGUUGUUCCUAAUGAAGGGAAAGAAAAUUUAAAAGAAAGAGAAUGCAGAUAGCAGGCAUUAGGGAGCAAAGAAAUGCUGGAUCAAAUUCUCUGCUGCUUCUCAUGAGAGGGAGAGCACAGGAUGUUCAGCCCAGGAAGUGGAAGAUAAAACAGGACUCAGUGGUGUUCCAUACAACGUGUUCCAUGGAAAGAACAGUGAAAAUCCAUGAAAAACAAAACAAAACAAAACAAAACAACAACAACAACAAAACAGAAAGUGCAAUUAACUGGUUGAUUUGUUCCACAAAAGGAUGGAGAUAAAAGAGAGAUGCCAGACCAAUU
rnacentral:lncRNA from 1 species